UGCGGGAUGGAGCAGUGGUAGCUCGUUGGGCUCAUAACCCAAAGGUCGUCGGUUCGAAUCUGGCUCCCGCUACCA
rnacentral:tRNA from 1 species